rnacentral:rRNA from 1 species
GAUGAACGCUGGCGGCGUGCCUAAUACAUGCAAGUCGAGCGAAAAGAUGAGGAGCUUGUGCCUCUGACGUUAGCGGCGGACGGGUGAGUAACACGUGGAUAACCUACCUAUAUGACGGGGAUAACUUCGGGAAACCGGAGAUAAUACCGGAGAAUAUCUUGAACCGCAUGGUUCAAUGGUGAAAGACGGCUUUGCUGUCACUUAUAGCUGGUUCCGCGCUGCAUUAGCGAGUUGGUAAGGUAACGGCUUACCAAGGAAACGAUGCGUAGCCGACCUGAGAGGCUGAUCGGCCACCCUGGAACUGAGCCACGGUCCAGACUCCUACGGGAGGCAGCAGUAGGGAAUCUUCCGCAAUGGGCGAAAGCCUGACGGAGCAACGCCGCGUGAGUGAUGAAGGUCUUCGGAUCGUAAAACUCUGUUAUUGGGGAAGAACAACUGUGUAAGUAACCAUGCACGUCUUGACGGUACCUAAUCAGAAAGCCACGGCUAACUACGUG